GCCCCAGUGGCUCAAUGGAUAGAGCGCCGGACUUCUAAUCCGAUGGUUGCAGGUUCGAGUCCUGCCUGGGGCG
rnacentral:tRNA from 1 species